rnacentral:lncRNA from 1 species
GUAACAAUCAUAUUAUAUUUAGAUAUAACUGUUCAAAUGGUCCUGUUACAAUAAGUACAUAGUAUUCUGAUUGUACUGGAUGGGGAGAUUAAAAAAACUACAAUAGUUACAAUUUUAAUUGUCUAGGAUUGAUCACGCAAUUAGUUGAAUGUAAUCAGGUAUAAACUGGCUCUAUUUUUUUAUAUAUGGGAAAAUAUUUUGUAAGUAUAGAGUAGGUACAAGAAAUCAUCUCCUUAAGUUGAUGAUUGGAGUAAGAUUCCUGGUUGAAAAGUUAUUUACAGACAAAACAAAUAAAAUGAAUAACUGACCAGACAUAAAUUGCUAUUGCUAAUAGAAUUUAUUUCACAGGAUUGUAAAUCAUUAUGGUGCAACAGAAUUUGUUCUGAUAUGGAAACAUUAUUGAUAUUGGCCAGAGCUAUGUAAUGUAUCAAUCCUAACACCAUGCAAAUUGGGCAUUGUGACAAAGAAGCCUACAAUUAUCAACAUUUAUAAUAACACAACAUUGAAGUUAUUAUUUAAAGGUAAAUAUAUUCUCUUUACAAAAUCUUCACUGAAUUGGAAAUAAAAAUACAUUUAACAUAGACAAUUUGACUAGGAACAAUUAUAGAAUAUUAUAUUAAUUUGUAUGUUGAUUGAAUGUCACUGUUUUUUAUGAAACAGUGAACAUUUCUAAUUAUUCAAUUUUCAAUAGUAUUCAAUGCAUUUUGUGAAUUUUUUUUAAAAAUUUCCUAAUAAUGUGUUAAAAAUUAAUAAACCAAAAAUUACUAUUAAAAUUAUUUAUACAUAUUAUUUAACUAAUCAAUUUAACACAAACUGUUUUUGUAUAUUAAUGAUUUGUAGUAAAAAAUUAAUUAGUUUAAUGAAUAAUAGCUUAGUAAAUAUAUCAUAAAAAUUUUUGAAUUUAUUAAAUAACUUUUACUGAUAAUAAUAAUUUGUAUACAGAUAUAGAGCAAAAUAACACCACACAUUUUAAACAAAUGUUUUAUUGGUAAAUAGUCUUCCAAUUUUAGAUAAAUACAUUAUAUUUUUGUCAGUUUUAGUCUUAUCGGAUAUUUUCAUAGAAGAUUGAAUUCAGUUUAAAUUUGAUGUAGCUAUUAGCCAUAUUUUUAUUGUCAUCUUUUGAAAUUGAAUAUAUUUCUUUUAUUUAUAGUACUUAGAUUUUCUUUAAUGCUUUGCAUCGCAUGUGGGAGUUCAAAACCUGGAACUCUCUGGGUUGCAUCAUUGAUGAGAAGGCCAUUCAUUUUCAUCUCUCCAAAUUUUCUUUCACAAAUCCUCCGGAACCUCUGUUGUACUCUCGAUAGACCAAAUAGGGUGUCUAGACUUCAAUUGUUUAAAUGGCGCAUCAUAUAUGUCGUUAUGAACUGGGAGGUGUGUCGAGUUUUUAAUUUUUUCUAAUAUUUUUUUCUUGCUGCAUAUCUGCGUAUUUCUGGUGGGGCUAUAUUUGAAAGUACCGGGAGCCACUGCACCUUCGUUGACCGAACACAACCUAAUAUUAUUCUCAUUGUAUUGUUUAAUUCCACAUCUACUUUUUUCGUGUGCAUACUCCUCCCCCAUACUGGUGCACAGUAUUCCGCAGCAUUAUACACUAAAGCCAAAGCAGAAGUGCGAAGGAUAUUUGCCCUGCAUCCCCAGUUUGUUCCGGCCAACUUACUGAUAAUGUUGUUCCUAGUUUUUAGUUUGUUUUUUACUCCUUCUAAGUGCUGUUUGAAGGUUAAAGUCCUGUCUAACUUUAUUCCCAAGUAUUUCGGGGCGUCUUCUUCUUGUAUGUUAACUCCCUGAGCCAUUAAGUUUAGUUUUCUAUCUGAUUCUAUGUUAUUUAGGUGGAACGCAAUGGAAGUAGUUUUGUUUGGGUUGAGUGUUAGGUGUCUUUUCCAGUUUUUCAAACGACUUGGCUUGAGCUACUAAUUCCACGUCAUCUGCAUACAUAAAUUUCCGCGAUGUUGUGUUCACAAUAUCAGAUGUGUAAACAUUAAACAAUUCCAAUGUCAUAAAUAUUAAAUUAAAUUAAUAAUAUGAUUGAACAGAUUAGCAAACAAGACUUAUUGCUAUUUAGCAGCCUAUCCAUUAUGCAAUCUUAUUUACAAAAAGUGACAAACUGAAGAAAUCAGGUUUAUAAAAUAAAUAUGUUUAAAUGCCUCAUUUCAUUCCUAAACAUGUAUAAAUAAGAUUUUUAAGUGAUAUAAAUAGUUUAUGAACCACAUAGUAUAUAAUUUUUGGCAAAAUUUAAUAAAAUGUAAUCAUAAUUUGAAAGUUAAAAUAAAUUAAUUUUUAAAUUAUUAAGCCAAUUUUUACUUAUGAUGUUAUUAUGUUAUCUACCUGUGUAAUAUUGCAUUUGACUUGAGCUUAUUAAAUUAUUUCAGAAUAUGGCAGUCACAUUUUAAGUCCAAGUAUAUAAUUUAGCAGGAAAUGGGAAUUGAGCUGCCAUAUUUAUGGAUUAGUUUGCCAGCAGUUCUAUCAAUAUAAAGCCAGUUAACAUUAAAAGUAAAUAUUUUAUUACAUAGGUAUAUGUUAGCAUGACUAUUAAAAUAUCAUAUAUAAAAAAACAAAUUGUUUUAGAUUAAUGCUCAAUAAAAUAUAACAGUUAAAGUAGAUAAUUAAAAAUAACCAGGUAUGGGUUGUAACAUAAAUUAUCCUAAAUACACUUAAAUUAACUUUGGAAAAUUUACAAUUACUUAUUAUUAUACUUAUACUUAUUAAUUAUAAAUAUAUUUUGAAACAAUGUUUUGGUGUAGAUAUAUUGACUAAUUAUGAAUGUUAAUUUUCUACAAUAUUUUUAACAAUAUAAUACUUUAAAUUGA